AUUGAACGCUGGCGGCAGGCCUAACACAUGCAAGUCGGGCGAGCCUCGGACGGGUGAUUAAUGUCUGGGGAUCUGCCUGCUGGCGGGUGAUAACUACUGGCAACGUUAUCUAAUCCCGCAUACCAUCAUAUGAUCCCAUAUGGGAUUAGCUUGUAGGUGGGGUAAUGGCUCACCUAGGCGACGAUCCCUAGCUGGUCUGAGAGGAUGACCAGCCACACUGGGACUGAGACACGGCCCAGACUCCUACGGGAGGCAGCAGUGGGGAAUAUUGCACAAUGGGCGCAAGCCUGAUGCAGCCAUGCCGCGUGUAUGAAGAAGGCCUUCGGGUUGUAAAGUACUUUCAGUCGGGAGGCGUUACCGAAAGAAGAAGCACCGGCUAACUCCGUGCCAGCAGCCGCGGUAAUAC
rnacentral:rRNA from 1 species